rnacentral:rRNA from 1 species
ACGAACGCUGGCGGCAUGCCUAACACAUGCAAGUCGAACGAGACCUUCGGGUCUAGUGGCGCACGGGUGCGUAACGCGUGGGAAUCUGCCCCUCGGUUCGGAAUAACAGUUAGAAAUGACUGCUAAUACCGGAUGAUGACGAAAGUCCAAAGAUUUAUCGCCGAGGGAUGAGCCCGCGUAAGAUUAGCUAGUUGGUAGGGUAAAGGCCUACCAAGGCGACGAUCUUUAGCUGGUCUGAGAGGAUGAUCAGCCACACUGGGACUGAGACACGGCCCAGACUCCUACGGGAGGCAGCAGUGGGGAAUAUUGGACAAUGGGCGAAAGCCUGAUCCAGCAAUGCCGCGUGAGUGAUGAAGGCCUUAGGGUUGUAAAGCUCUUUCGACGGGGAGGAAGGCACCGGCGCGAAUAGCGUUGGUGAUUGACGUAACCUGGAGAAGAAGCACCGGCUAACUCCGU